GAUGAACGCUGGCGGCGUGCCUAAUACAUGCAAGUCGAGCGAAUGGAUUAAGAGCUUGCUCUUAUGAAGUUAGCGGCGGACGGGUGAGUAACACGUGGGUAACCUGCCCAUAAGACUGGGAUAACUCCGGGAAACCGGGGCUAAUACCGGAUAAUAUUUUGAACUGCAUGGUUCAAAAUCGAAAGGCGGCUUCGGCUGUCACUUAUGGAUGGACCCGCGUCGCAUGAGCUAGUUGGUGAGGUAACGGCUCACCAAGGCAACGAUGCGUAGCCGACCUGAGAGGGUGAUCGGCCACACUGGGACUGAGACACGGCCCAGACUCCUACGGGAGGCAGCAGUAGGGAAUCUUCCGCAAUGGACGAAAGUCUGACGGAGCAACGCCGCGUGAGUGAUGAAGGCUUUCGGGUCGUAAAACUCUGUUGUUAGGGAAGAACAAGUGCUAGUUGAAUAAGCUGGCACCUUGACGGUACCUAACCAGAAAGCCACGGCUAACUACGUGCCAGCAGCCGCGGUAA
rnacentral:rRNA from 1 species